UCGCAAUGAAUAUAAAGACAUGCAAUUAAUAGUAAUUUUUAUGGGACGUUUAAAAAUCCCAAUAAAAAUCUUAUACGGUGGAACGAUAUUUAACUUUGCAUUCACUUUCUGCUGGAGACAAUUAGAGCAUUAAACUUAUUUUCCGCAAAUGAAUAACAAUUUAUUAUUUUAUUUCUGCAUCAUUUCUAAUAUUUAAAUAUUCGGUUCAAUUAAGAUGAAUAAAAAGAAGCAGACAGAAAUUACAACAAUAUUUUUACAAUAAGAUAAGAUAUUCAAAAAUAAGAUUGAAACCUAUUGUUAAUUUAAAAUAAUCUUAUAAAAAGUUGUCACAACUGUAAUCUAAAGGCUAAUGUACUAGUGUUUAAUGUAUACUUACGACUUGAUUUUGAGUACAUUUCAAGUUUUAUUCAUUGAGCGAUGCUAUAUUUUAUAUUUACAAAAUGUUUUUAUCCAUUUCAUUAUUUAUCGAUAUCGCUGAACACAGAUACAGCAAAUAAAUCGAUAUUCGCCGCUAGAUAAAUGCAAACAAUGCUCAAUUUAUAAGAAAAAAAAAAAACUUGUAACGAAAGAGUAACAAACGUGGCAAUUAUUUUUAAUUUGUUAAAAUUAGUCAUUGAUUUCCCUUUAUUUUUUAUCGUUGUUUCUGAAGUAUAAAGAUAUAAACGAACAUUUGAUUAUUUACAUUUUUGACGUUAAUUUAUAAACUGAAUACUGUAUUUAAAACACAUUAUACUCAGACGUUUUAUUAAAUUGUAUCAAUGAAGAUAAAGUAAGCUUCUGACUAUACGUUAAUUUCCAUUUCCCAUUUCCUCUGAAAAUACAUUUAAUAUAUGAAUGUAGAAAACUUGAUAUAAAAGCACUUUGUAGAUCACUAGGAAGCAACGAAAAAAAGGCGUGAAAUGGAAGAGCGAAGGAAAGAAGUGAGCCGUCCUCAAUCACAAAGAGAAAGGAUUAACGUCGCAAUCUCACAAUACCUUGUAUAAUAUUUAAUUAUCCCGGUUAGAAGCGGAAUAUGCUAUGAGUUCUACCUGUUAAAAUCAUAUAAAUACGCCGACAACAUAGAAAUUCUUAACAGAUGUAAUAAAGACAUCAACGAAUAUAAAGCUUACGUUGGAGUUAUUUAUAUUUGCUUUUGCUUUUUCUCCAAUUAUUUGUUGGCACGAUUCAACAAAUGUUAAACCUGCGGAUCCUUACAAAGCUCUUAUACAGUCCAAUGGACGAUACUGUGCCAUGAGCGAUGAUGAUAGGGCCGAUGUUAAUUUUUGCUUGUUGGAAAACAGAAAUUUUCUUUUGUUGGAAUUCUACAAAAACUGUAUUCAGCAACUGAAAUUCUUUCAAACUAUGGCAGAAAUCAACAAUUUCAUUUGUCAAUCCAGA